GCCUGCGGCUGGCGGCACGAGGCACUACAUUUUGAGGUGUGACCCAACUGUGAGAGAGCUGAGUCACAAGACAAGCUAAAAUUAGAAUGGGGAAUAUACACAGUGAGAGACAGACACCAUGCAAUGAUAUGCUAUCGUUGUCAGGGAUACGGCCACCUUGAGGCCAACUGUACUGCCCAGACCAAUGGAGACGCCCCAGAUUGUUUCAAAUGUGCUGGCAAUCAUAAAUCACAGGAGUGCGCCAAGGCUGAGAAGAAAUGCAUAAGCUGUGUGAGGGACAUGUUCCUCCAGUAUCUCUCUUUGGUGCCGUUAUCUGACCUAAUCUGCGGGAUCAGAGUGCAGGGUCUUCUUAUCAGCACCGCCUGACGGUGUCGUGCGUGGCACAAUAGCAGUGGCCCAGACACUCGCGGCGUGAUAUUUAGCACGACACCGCCUCAUAGCCACCAGUGACCGACUCCAGCAUAGCCGAGGCGCGCCUUCCUGAAGACCUGACAGACACCACCGCGGCGAGGGGCGCUGCGUCACCACCACCGCGGCCAGCAGGAGGUUGUCAGGCCACCACCACCACCACCGCGGCCAGCAGGAGGUUGUCAGGCCACCACCACCACCACCGCGGCCAGCAGGAGGUUGUCAGGCCACCACCACCACCACCGCGGCCAGCAGGAGGUUGUCAGGCCGCCACC